rnacentral:rRNA from 1 species
UACGGGGGGGGCAAGCGUUGUUCGGAAUUACUGGGCGUAAAGGGCUCGUAGGUGGCCAACUAAGCCAGACGUGAAAUCCCUCAGCUUAACUGGGGAACUGCGUCUGAUACUGGAUGGCUUGAGUUCGGGAGAGGGAUGCGGAAUUCCAGGUGUAGCGGUGAAAUGCGUAGAUAUCUGGAGGAACACCGGUGGCGAAGGCGGCAUCCUGGACCGAUACUGACACUGAGGAGCGAAAGCCAGGGGAGCAAACGGG